rnacentral:tRNA from 1 species
GGGGUUGUGGCUCAGCGGUAGAGCGCACACCUCACACGCACGUGUGAGACCCUGAGUUCGAUCCUCAGCACCA